rnacentral:rRNA from 1 species
UACGUAGGGGGCGAGCGUUGUCCGGGUUUAUUGGGCGUAAAGAGCUCGUAGGCGGUUUGGCAAGUCGGGUGUGAAAACUCCGGGCUCAACUCGGAGACGCCACUCGAUACUGCUAUGACUCGAGUCCGGUAGGGGAGUGCGGAAUUCCUGGUGUAGCGGUGAAAUGCGCAGAUAUCAGGAGGAACACCGGUGGCGAAGGCGGCACUCUGGGCCGGUACUGACGCUGAGGAGCGAAAGCGUGGGGAGCGAACAGG